rnacentral:lncRNA from 1 species
UUUAGCUUAACUUCUAUUUUAGUUUAUCAAGAUUAGAGUACUUAGCAUCUAAUUAGUGUAAUUAUUUCGUUACUAAAUGUUUUCAAUAUCAUUUAUACAAUUCAUUUUUCUUUUUGUUUUGUUUUUUUUUUUUUUUUUUUUUAUAAUAUCAUCCACGUUAUAUAGUAGAAAUAAAUUCCAUAUUUGACUCUUGAAAGUCUCAAUAA